rnacentral:ncRNA from 1 species
AUAACUGUUUGAUAACUGGGGCUGUAGCUCAGUUGGAUAGAGCGAGCGCCUCCUGAAAUAUCGGGCAUCAUAGAGGAAACUUUAUGUAUGAAUGCGAUCAAAGUCGGUGAACCCUAAAAAGCAAAAACUUUAUGGGAAUACCGAGCCAAGCCUAAAAUUGAUUUGUAGAUCGAACUACAGAAUUAUUUCAGGAAGGUGUAGAGACUAAACGGUUGCCACCUAAAGGUUAAAAACCUAUGGUGAAGAUAUAGUCCAGAGAGUGGGGAAACUCACAC